rnacentral:rRNA from 1 species
CCUUACACACAGUGUUUUUUGUUAUUACAAGAACUUUUGCUUUGGUCUGGACUAGAAAUAGUUUGGGCCAGAGGUUUACUGAACUAAACUUCAAUAUUUAUAUUGAAUUGUUAUUUAUUUAAUUGUCAAUUUGUUGAUUAAAUUCAAAAAAUCUUCAAAACUUUCAACAACGGAUCUCUUGGUUCUCGCAUCGAUGAAGAACGCAGCGAAAUGCGAUAAGUAAUAUGAAUUGCAGAUUUUCGUGAAUCAUCGAAUCUUUGAACGCACAUUGCGCCCUCUGGUAUUCCAGAGGGCAUGCCUGUUUGAGCGUCAUUUCUCUCUCAAACCUUCGGGUUUGGUAUUGAGUGAUACUCUUAGUCGAACUAGGCGUUUGCUUGAAAUGUAUUGGCAUGAGUGGUACUGGAUAGUGCUAUAUGACUUUCAAUGUAUUAGGUUUAUCCAACUCGUUGAAUAGUUUAAUGGUAUAUUUCUCGGUAUUCUAGGCUCGGCCUUACAAUAUAACAAACAAGUUUGACCUCAAAUCAGGUAGGACUACCCGCUGAACUUAAGCAUAUCAAUAAG